rnacentral:rRNA from 1 species
AGGUGCAAUCAUACCAGCACUAAUGCACCUAUAGAACUUCGCAAUUAAGCGUGCUUGGGUGAGAGUAGUACUAGGAUGGGUGACCACCUGAGAAAAUCUCGUGUUGCACUUU